AACGAACGCUGGCGGCAUGCCUAACACAUGCAAGUCGAACGAGACCUUCGGGUCUAGUGGCGCACGGGUGCGUAACGCGUGGGAACCUGCCCUUAGGUUCGGAAUAACUCCCCGAAAGGGGUGCUAAUACCGGAUAAUGUCUUCGGACCAAAGAUUUAUCGCCUUUGGAUGGGCCCGCGUUGGAUUAGCUAGUUGGUAGGGUAAAAGCCUACCAAGGCGACGAUCCAUAGCUGGUCUGAGAGGAGGAUCAGCCACACUGGGACUGAGACACGGCCCAGACUCCUACGGGAGGCAGAAGUGGGGAAUAUUGGACAAUGGGCGAAAGCCUGAUACAGCAAUGCCGCGUGAGUGAUGAAGGCCUUAGGGUUGUAAAGCUCUUUUACCCGGGAUGAUAAUGACAGUACCGGGAGAAUAAGCUCCGGCUAACUCCGUG
rnacentral:rRNA from 1 species